CCCCCUGCCGUCUCACGCUGCAGCUUCUCGGUCGGAUUGUUGACCGCAAGUUCCACGAUUGAUGGUCCACGACGCCACCUGGCCCAACGUCCGCGAGCAGCUUCAUCUUCGCUGCUUCGUGCGUCUCCAGCCACGACGUCCAGAGAAGCCCAGUGUCUUCGCAGCAUCAUCGAGGUAGUAGUCUUCAUCGCCUUGGUCAGUAUUUCCUUGGUCUUCCUCAGCCACGCCAGCGAAGCCCCUACGAGCGCCAGUCCACCGAUUCUUCAACAAGCCCACGCACUCCAGUCCAUCUUCGCUUGAGUGUGUCUCGGCCCAGCAACAGCACUGACUGCCUUCCAUUGAUUGUGGGCUCAGCAAAUUGAAGCCCAACUCAGAUUCAGCUCAAAACUUCAGCAGCUCCAUUGGGCUUUCUUGUUCAGCCCAAUUUCGGCCCAAGAAGUCAGCAAUCCUCAGCCCAUUAAAUAAGUCCAGCAGCCCAAGUCUUGGCCCAGCAGCAAGCCCACGUCUUUUAGAAGCCCAGCAGGAUCAGAAGCCCGCAAUUUUGAGGCCCAAGCCCGCGAAGUCAGGCCCACCAAAGCAGUGGACUCAGCCCAGCUCGAGCAGCGAGCUUGUAGGCCGAUUUCGACCCCGGUUUGACCCCGGUUGGCGGACCCGCUUCGGACAGGAUUGACCCGUGUCGCGUGCUCGUCGAUUUGGUCCGAUUGGCUCGUUAAUCAAGUCCUUGGAUACAGUAGACUUGGAUUUUGAAGAUCUCGAAAGUCCAGUGCAGUCUGCUGAAGGCUCCAGUUGAAGUGUAGAGGAUGAUGGAGAGGAGGACGGGGACCCGUAGUUUGUAGAACCCCACUCUUGUUUGUAGACCUUAUUUUUACACUGGCUUAAGUUGAAUUUGACUUAAUAGCUCACCUUGUAUAUAUAGGUGCACUAGUUUGCAAUGUAUAUGUGAGUGAACGUUUUAAAGGUUUGAAAUUUAAUCCUACUGUGUUAUCCCAAUGUUUUAUU